rnacentral:tRNA from 2 species
GCGAGUAAUAGGGUUCCUGCCCUCCGAAGGCAGGGGUUGCUGGUUCGAUCCCAGCCGGGCGCGCCA